rnacentral:rRNA from 1 species
AUGGUCAUGCGUCGCAUUAGCUAGUUGGCGGGGUAACGCCCCACCAAGGCGACGAUGCGUAGGGGUUCUGAGAGGAAGGUCCCCCACACUGGUACUGAGACACGGACCAGACUCCUACGGGAGGCAGCAGUGAGGAAUAUUGGUCAAUGGCCGCAGGGCUGAACCAGCCAAGUCGCGUGAGGGAUGACGGUCCUAUGGAUUGUAAACCUCUUUUGUCAGGGAGCAAAGGGCGCCACGUGUGGCGCUUUGCGAGUACCUGAAGAAAAAGCAUCGGCUAACUCCGUGCCAGCAGCCGCGGUAAUACGGAGGAUGCGAGCGUUAUCCGGAUUUAUUGGGUUUAAAGGGUGCGCAGGCGGAAUGUCAAGUCAGCGGUAAAAUUUCGGGGCUCAACCCCGUCGUGCCGUUGAAACUGGCGUUCUUGAGUGAGCGAGAAGUAUGCGGAAUGCGUGGUGUAGCGGUGAAAUGCAUAGAUAUCACGCAGAACUCCGAUUGCGAAGGCAGCAUACCGGCGCUCAACUGACGCUCAUGCACGAAAGCGUGGGUAUCGAACAGGAUUAGAUACCCUGGUAGUCCACGCAGUAAACGAUGAAUACUAACUGUCCGGGCAGAAUGAUGCCUGG